rnacentral:rRNA from 1 species
AGCGAACGCUGGCGGCAGGCCUAACACAUGCAAGUCGAACGGACCUUUCGGGGCUAGUGGCGGACGGGUGAGUAACACGUGGGAACGUGCCUUUUGGUUCGGAACAACUUGGGGAAACUUAAGCUAAUACCGGAUGUGCCCUUAGGGGGAAAGAUUUAUCGCCAUUAGAGCGGCCCGCGUCUGAUUAGCUAGUUGGGGGGGUAACGGCCUACCAAGGCGACGAUCAGUAGCUGGUCUGAGAGGAUGAUCGGCCACAUUGGGACUGAGACACGGCCCAAACGCCGACGGGAGGCAGCAGUGGGGAAUCUUGCGCAAUGGGCGAAAGCCUGACGCAGCCAUGCCGCGUGAAUGAUGAAGGUCUUAGGAUUGUAAAAUUCUUUCACCGGGGACGAUAAUGACGGUACCCGGAGAAGAAGCCCCGGCUAACUUCGUGCCAGCCGCCGCCGUAA